rnacentral:rRNA from 1 species
ACGAACGUUGGCGGCGUGCUUAACACAUGCAAGUCGCACGGAAAGGCCCUGCUUUUGUGGGGUGCUCGAGUGGCGAACGGGUGAGUAACACGUGAGUAACCUGCCCUUGACUUUGGGAUAACUUCAGGAAACUGGGGCUAAUACCGGAUAGGAGCUCCUGCUGCAUGGUGGGGGUUGGAAAGUUUCGGCGGUUGGGGAUGGACUCGCGGCUUAUCAGCUUGUUGGUGGGGUAGUGGCUUACCAAGGCUUUGACGGGUAGCCGGCCUGAGAGGGUGACCGGCCACAUUGGGACUGAGAUACGGCCCAGACUCCUACGGGAGGCAGCAGUGGGGAAUAUUGCACAAUGGGCGGAAGCCUGAUGCAGCAACGCCGCGUGCGGGAUGACGGCCUUCGGGUUGUAAACCGCUUUCGCCUGUGACGAAGCGUGAGUGACGGUAAUGGGUAAAGAAGCACCGGCUAACUACGUG